UACGUAGGGGGCAAGCGUUGUCCGGAUUUAUUGGGCGUAAAGCGCUCGCAGGUGGUUCGAUGCGUCGUGCGUGAAAGACCCCGGCUCAACUGGGGAGGGUCGUGCGAUACGGUCGAACUGGAGGCCAGUAGGGGGAUGCGGAAUUCCGGGUGUAGUGGUGGAAUGCGUAGAGAUCCGGAGGAACACCAGCGGCGAAGGCGGCAUCCUGGACUGGUCCUGACACUCAGGCGCGAAAGCUAGGGGAGCGAACAGG
rnacentral:rRNA from 1 species